rnacentral:lncRNA from 1 species
AUUGAACCUCCUACUGCAGUUCCGACUCCAACUCCAGCUUUGGUUCAAGCUGAGGGUCCUGCAAGUCCAGGUGCCAGUUCCGGACCACGCCGUCUGUCUACACCAAAUCUGAUGUGCAAUCCAGAUAAGCCAGAUGGUCCUGCUUUCCACUCCAGCACUCUGGAAAGGAAGACACCCAUUCAGAUCCUGGGGCAAGAGCCUGAUGCAGAGAUGGUGGAAUAUCUCAUCUAAAGGCCACAUCAAGCGCUGGAGUUAUCAGCAAGAGUUCUUUUUAAUAAUGUUUCCCUUUCAUUUGUUUAAUCUGGGGUGAAGAUGGGGUUGGGAGGUGGGGAUGAUUUUUCUAAAGGGACUUUUUAUUGGACUCUGGUAGUACAUAAGUAAUGCCAUAGAAAUGAAUUCCAAUCUAUUUUGGAAUC